rfam:Moorella glycerini strain NMP genome assembly, contig: M_glycerini_NMP_DRAFT_scaffold-65
UUUACGGAGAGUUUGAUCCUGGCUCAGGACAAACGCUGGCGGCGUGCCUAACACAUGCAAGUCGAGCGGUCUUUACCUUGCGGAAUCUUCGGAGGAAGCGAGGUAAAGAUAGCGGCGG